rnacentral:rRNA from 1 species
CUGACCCCAUGCCGAACUCAGAAGUGAAACGCCGUAGCGCCGAUGGUAGUGUGGGGUCUCCCCAUGUGAGAGUAGGGCAUUGCCAGGU